rnacentral:rRNA from 1 species
UGGGGAAUAUUGCGCAAUGGGCGAAAGCCUGACGCAGCAACACCGCGUGAGGGAUGACGGCCUUCGGGUUGUAAACCUCUUUCAGCUCCGACGAAGCGAAAGUGACGGUAGGAGCAGAAGAAGCACCGGCUAACUACGUGCCAGCAGCCGCGGUAAUACGUAGGGUGCAAGCGUUGUCCGGAAUUAUUGGGCGUAAAGAGCUCGUAGGCGGUCCGUUGCGUCUGCCGUGAAAACCCGGAGCUCAACUCCGGGCCUGCGGUGGAUACGGGCGGACUAGAGUCCGGUAGGGGAGACUGGAAUUCCUGGUGUAGCGGUGGAAUGCGCAGAUAUCAGGAGGAACACCGGUGGCGAAGGCGGGUCUCUGGGCCGGAACUGACGCUGAGGAGCGAAAGCGUGGGGAGCGAACAGGAUUAGAUACCCUGGUAGUCCACGCCGUAAACGGUGGGUACUCGGUGGUGCGGGUGUCGACCCCUGCGCUGCCUUAGCUAACGCGUUAAGUACCCCG